rnacentral:rRNA from 1 species
GACGAACGCUGGCGGCGUGCUUAACACAUGCAAGUCGAACGGAAAGGCCCUGCUUUUGUGGGGUGCUCGAGUGGCGAACGGGUGAGUAACACGUGAGUAACCUGCCCUUGACUUUGGGAUAACUUCAGGAAACUGGGGCUAAUACCGGAUAGGAGCUCCUGCUGCAUGGUGGGGGUUGGAAAGUUUCGGCGGUUGGGGAUGGACUCGCGGCUUAUCAGCUUGUUGGUGGGGUAGUGGCUUACCAAGGCUUUGACGGGUAGCCGGCCUGAGAGGGUGACCGGCCACAUGGGGACUGAGAUACGGCCCAGACUCCUACGGGAGGCAGCGGUGGGAAAUAUUGCACAAUGGGCGGAAGCCUGAUGCAGCAACGCCGCGUGCGGGAUGACGGCCUUCGGGUUGUAAACCGCUUUCGCCUGUGACGAAGCGUGAGUGACGGUAAUGGGUAAAGAAGCACCGGCUAACUACGUG